CGCGGGGUGGAGCAGUGGUAGCUCGUUGGGCUCAUAACCCAAAGGUCGUCGGUUCGAGUCCGGCCCCCGCCA
rnacentral:tRNA from 1 species